rnacentral:rRNA from 1 species
UGCGGCGGCACUAGCGCGGUGGUCCCACCUGACCCCAUGCCGAACUCAGAAGUGAAACGCCGUAGCGCCGAUGGUAGUGUGGGGUCUCCCCAUGUGAGUAGGGAACUGCCGGCA